GAUUCCAGAGAAUGGUAAAUGAUCGAUGGAAAAUCAUGAACAGUGUUUCAGAACUCGAGGAUGGACAGCAGCAUAAAUCGCAGAGGAUGAGCUGUAGUUAUCUCCUGUGCACCAUUCUGCUGUUUGUUGCCGUUUUACUGGCCGUGACAGUAACCGGGAUCAUCCUCCUGAUGAACCAUUACCAGGCUCCCAGCGGCCCCGAUGGCCCCCCGCUCAUCAGCACCAAUCAGGACGAGGGAAACGCCCUGGUGACCAUCGAGCGGGGCGAUGGCUCCCGCAUCAACAUCUUCAUCGACCCCAACUGUCCCGACUACAACAAUAACUUCCUGCGUCUGGAGGGGGUUCAGACCUCACUGCUGCACUCACUCACCGACCACGACACUGAUCUGAAAUCAGUGAAAGGCCAGGAUCGGGCUCUGCUGGUUAAACUGGCUGAGGAGGUGGCCAAACUGUCCGCUCACGCCAGCCAGCUGAAGAUGGAGUACAACGCUUUGAGGCAAGGCCAGGGCAACAUCGGGCAGGAGCUAAGCACACUGCAGACGGAACAGGGCAGACUCAUACAGCUACUGUCAGAAAGCCAGAUCAACAUGGUGAAAGUGGUGAACUCGGUGAGUGACGCGCUCAGCUCCAUGCAGAAGGAAAAUGGAAACAUCAAGAGCCGUCUUAAGGCAGAUCUGCAGAGGGCUCCGGUGCGCAGUGUCCGGCCCAAAGGCUGCGCCGCUGGAGAGGGUUCCAGACCCAGAGACUGCAGUGACAUCUAUGCCAGCGGGCAAAGAGAGGAUGGCAUCUACUCGGUGUUCCCCACGCAUUACCCAGCAGGCUUCCAGGUCUUCUGUGACAUGACUACUGAUGGAGGCGGGUGGACGGUGAUUCAACGCAGAGAAGAUGGCUCAGUUAACUUUUUCCGUGACUGGGAAGCCUAUCGUGAAGGAUUUGGCAAGAUAACAGGAGAGCAUUGGCUAGGCAUGAAACGAAUCCAUGCACUUACUAUUCAAGCCAACUACGAGCUGCGGAUUGACCUGGAGGACUUCGAGAACAGCACCUCCUUUGCGCAGUACGGCUCUUUUGGAGUGGGUUUGUUCUCAGUUGACCCAGACGAGGAUGGUUACCCACUGAGCAUCGCUGACUACUCCGGCACCGCAGGUAUGAAUCACACUGUUCUGCCUUUGAGCAAGAGAUGGCGAGCUCGCCUGCGGUGCGCAGCCAAAAACUAUUACAUUUAUUGCAAAGGCAGAGGUCUCGCGGAAAGCCAGAGGUCAGAGUGUGGCGUUUUUUUAAAGCUCUCUGGUCGUAAGACUUUGCUGCACAACUGCAAUUCAGUCGUGGUACCGCAUUGAUGUCUUGAGCCAAAGUUCAUGUCAGGUUUAAUGGCGAGCCGCAGGUAAACGCUGGUAAAAGCUCUUGGGCUGAUAUGUAGUUUCGUCCAGACAGACUUUGGACAGAUUACUCUGACCAAAACGCCCACUUUAGAGCAUAAGAGACAAUCCAGCUGACACCUAAAGUGUCUAGUUUUAUUAGAAAAGAAUGAAAAAAAGCUUAAUAAAAUGUGUUGGUUAAAGAUGUAAGGGUCCUAUUUUGGUGGCUACUUUAAGUUUACAAAAGGGAUUUUCUAUUUAUAUGUACAAGACAAUAGCUGCAUGCCAAAUGGCACACUAUGCACAAUGCACUAUGUACUUAUGCACUGUUACGUAGCAGAUGCACCUCGCUACGCACAGAAGGUUAAGAAUGACCGCUGUUAAAAGAGGUUACCUGGAGUCCCCGUCUUUGUUUCCCAAGCACUCACACACACAGGCCAAGUUUUCAAAAGGAAUAACAGAUUUAUUAAACAAAUAUUUCGGUGUCAGAAUCAGGGAACAAAAAGGCCAAAACAAGGUAAGCUGCCAAAUAUUAAACUUCUUACCUAAACCGAAAAUAAAGUUCCGUAAAUAAAACAUACAAUUCUACCCUCCAUAACUAUCGAUUAAACAUGAGAAAACGGGACAAAAGAAAAAGGGCCUUCCCUUUGAUCAUUCAGCAGUAAGUAAAAAUUUAGCCGCAGCUAACACAGCAUACCUUCCUAGUACCGUAUUUAACAGAGUAUCUCACCAGAUGACUUUGAAACAGAGUUGUAGAAAGUAAUUAAACCAUCAGCCACCGCUAAUCCAGGUUACCGUCCUAUUACCGUAAUAAACAGAGUAUCUCAAAGGAUUACUUUGGAAAAAGGUUUCAGACAGAAAGAGAUCACUGCCACACAGAGAACUCAGAGCGAUCUGCUCACACACACACACACACACACACACAACAGCGAGGGGAAACAGGAAGAGAACUCGACGAGCAGCGUCAACAGCAUGCUUUUAUAACUGGCACCACCCCUCUCAAAGCUGCACCUGAUCUCCGCUCAUGUGGAGAGAGAGAAAGAGACAGAUAAUAGAGGAUACAACACACACAGGAACAAUACACACUAGCAUUGUCAAAAUAAUGUUACUCAAUAUAUAACAUGCACUUACACACUCAACAGCAUAGUACAUGAAUGUAGUGUCGUCCCAAAUAGAACACUAAUGUUUUUUUUGUACUAAGCGGAAAUUUAAACUGUUUCCCUAAUGAUGUUUGACGGUUGCCAAAUUAGUGAAAUAAGUGACCAAACUACCAAAUAACAGCUGCCAUGAGUAUAACCGCAUUCACCAUCAGACCAUCAAACAAAACUAUACAUUUGUUACAUGGAUAUUUAAAUGUAUGUAUAAAUUGCCUUAUAUACGGAUAGAAUUUAUAUCUAAAUAUAAAUAAACAUCAAUUAUAGUCAAUUAGUUUGUUAGAUAGCGAACUUUAAGUGUUAAAAGCAAGUAUAUGUUAUGCACAGAGAGGAAAUCCGAAACUUACUGGCCUGAGUUGCACCCCAGCAAAAACAAAAAGCUCAGCCUAGAAUAGAAACUAUCAUGAGAAUCACAAGACUAAUUUAAAGUUUCCUGGCCUGUUGUCAGCGGUGUUCAGAUAUAUUCCUGCAGCACGCAAAGCAACGGGGGCUGCAGGUUAUCUUGAGCGCCGAGGCGAAGUGAUGAGCAAUUCUCAAUGCUUCACCUGCGCUGUCGCCGGGGCCUCUUUUUAACGUUAAUUGGGUCCCGCUCUCCAUUAUUCUCAGGUGUUUUUCCCUGAGCGCUGCCCUCCUCGCUGGGGCCGGACGCGGGCCUGACCUUCGCUGUAUGCCGGAAAGGGCAGGGAUAAUGAAGCCGUACAGUACAUCUAUGGCAUUCCAAUAAAGCAGGCACCCGGCUUAUUACGGGAGACGUAAACAAACAGUCCUAUUAACAUAAAUCAAGAGGAGAAUACAGCAUCCACGCGUCUAAUUAGCCAGGCUGUCUUAAACAUCCCGCUGGAGGAGUCAUGCCACAUUGAUUCCCAAUCUUAUCAAUUACGUCUUGUUUGGACUCUUAAGCCGCUUUCUCCAUUAAAAUGCAUGCAUGGUUGUUUAAUGCAUUAACGUGUACAUGAAUGGUAGCUUGGACUGACCAUAAGCAUUAAAUCGCAUUGUGAUUUUCAUCUGAUCUUUGCUUGCUCAAGUGUGAAACUUAGGCUCAAUCCCAAUUCUUUUUUGUACCUCUUCCCCUUUUCCUCAGCCCCUAAAACCGAGUGUGAAGGGGAAGGGUUUUAAAAUUUACCUCUAAGAAAUGGGACAGCACUACAACACCUGCACAUGUCAUCAUAUGUUGUCGCGAUCUCAUGCUUCAUAUGACGUCAGAUGAUCGCGACUGCUGGAGUUUUUCCAGUUGUGUUAUUUUUUGGUAUUUAUCUACAAGAAAUCACUGAAGGCAACGAUUUCAUGUUAUCAUGACGAUCUCUCGUGGCAAUAUGAUCGUAACUGUACUGCGCAUUUACUCCGUGGCCAUAUUCAUCUAUGUAAACACACCAAAAGCAACAUUAACAUUAUAGCAGACACUGUAAAAACCUCAUUUCCAGCCACUAGACAUUUCUGACAGGGUAUUCCAGUGUCGUUGAGUGUCAGAAUGUUGUGGGACUACUAAACAGGAGUUCAAGAGUUCACAUUUAGAUAUGCUUAGCAUUUAUAGCAGGUUUGGCAUGCUGUCCCGGGAGAUAACCCUGAGCUCGGAGAUAUUUGAGUCAAUAAGCAUAUCAGAGGAUCCGAGAUCAGGAAGGUCUCGAUAGUUCCCCCUUUUGAAAGGGGAGAAAAAGGAGGAGAUGGGGUGGAAGGGGGGAUUCUUCUGAAAUGAAGAUAGGGAAAAAGGUUAGAAAGUGAUCCAUUUAUAGUAGGCUAGGAUCCCUCGGAUUGGAUUAUUACUGAUUCCAAAAGAGUGGCCAGCUGGGCUCAAUCAUAUCACGUUCUCCUCUCGAAAUUAGUUUAUGAAACUUCACUUAUUAUUAGGGAUUAUAGAUAGCAAAAUUUAGCGUUUUUAUUGUAGUAGUAUUUUUAAAAGCAU
ensembl:processed_transcript